rnacentral:rRNA from 1 species
AUUGAACGCUGGCGGCACGCCUAACACAUGCAAGUCGAACGGCAGCACAGUAAAGACUUCGGUCUUUAUGGGUGGCGAGUGGCGGACGGGUGAGUAACGCGUAGGAAUCUGUCCUGGAGAGUGGGAUAACCCGAGGAAACUCGGGCUAAUACCGCAUGAUAUCGAGAGAUCAAAGGCAGGGGACCCUUCGGGGCCUUGCGCUCUAGGUUGAGCCUACGUCGGAUUAGCUAGUUGGUGGGGUAAAGGCCUACCAAGGCGACGAUCCGUAGCUGGCCUGCGAGGAUGACCAGCCACACUGGGACUGACACACGGCCCAGACUCCUACGGGAGGCAGCAGUGAGGAAGCUUGGACAAGGGGUGAAACCCUGAUCCAGCGAUGCCGCGUGUGUGAAGAAGGCCUUCGGGUUGUAAAGCACUUUAGGUGGGGAAGAAAGGUAAUGAGUGAAUAACUGAUUGCUUUGACGGUACCCGCAGAAUAAGCACCGGCUAACUCUGUGCCAGCCGCCGCGGUAA